GAGAGAGGAGAGGGAGGAGGAGGAGGAGGAGGAGGAGGAGGAGAGAGAAAGGAAACCGAAUUGUGGGUAGCUUGUGGACAGAAGCCUUUUGUCAAACAAAAGCCAAACACAUUUAUCGUGGACCAUGAUACACAUAUUUCAGGAGCUUUUCUUGCAGAUACUUAAGGGAUGGGUGUUCCUCUCACUUCUCUUGUUCCUCUUAGUGGGCUCCCAGUGAUAGACAAGUCACCUGACAAGCGAGGUCUGUUUUCUGGUUUGAUGUGAUGGUUUCUCAUAGAGCAGAGUAAACCAAUCCUCAUUUAGCGAUCCUCCAAACCUGUAGUUAUCAGGGUGCACGGCAAAGUCAGACCGUGUUUGCCUUUUGUUUAAAAAGAAAAAUAUAUACAGCUAUAUCUUAUAGGAAGAAAUUACACUCUAUCCAAAGAAUUGCUACACUCGAGGAAAAUAGCACAUGAGACACAUGGUGGCAUGGGGUGUGCUUGUCAUCAGGGUAAAGACUCUACGUUUAUUCUUCAUGGCUCCAUCUUUGCUAAGAGCCUAGGAUAGAUACCCAGGACAUUCAGCAGAAGGGAACAAAUAAAUUCUUCCUGAGAUUCAAGAGAAGUUGAAGAUCUCUGUGUGUGUGUGUGUGUGCGUGCCUAGCAGUGUCCUCAAGUGACUCAAAUAUUUCUGUACUUCCUUUCACCUGGGGCCAGGAUAAUGGAUGGUGUAACCUUCCGUAAAAGUGUUAUGAUGAGGAAGCCCAGAACAUAGGUGGGAAUACAUUUCUGUAACUGGCUAUCUAGGUAUCUGAUCGCAUCAUUUAGAGAUCCACUUCCUCUUACUUAUGUAAAUGAUACAAUGUGACCUUGUGAUAAUUAGGAUAGAAGAAUUUAUGACAGAACUUAGGCUCUGAGAAAACCUUAUCAAUUUUGUUUGGUAGCCUAUGUCUCCUUCACUGUGUGUGUGUGUGUGUGUGUGUGUGUGUGUGUGUGUGUGUGUGUGUGUGUGUGUGUGUAUGUGUGUAUGUGUGCGUGUGCUUGCUUGCACACAGUCACAACAACAAACUACUUUCUCAAAAAUAAAUGAACAGUUGUUGUCAUAGUAACAUGUACAUAGGACAAUUAUUACUAGUUAGAGAGACAAAGCAGCUUAGAAAAGUAUGUGUGUGUGUCUGUGUGUGUGUCUGUGUGUGUGUCUGUGUGUGUGUCUGUGUGCACCCACAAAAGCAAGACCCUGUCUCAAAACCAAAUGAAUAAUCCGUACCAUAUUUUUAGAAAGAAAAUAAAAGAGUAAAGAAAGAUCAAGUGAUACAGUUUAAACAUUGUUUUCCAAAACCUACCUUGUUUCAAACCUGCUGAUGGGUUGUUGUCAGCUUAGUGGUUCAGAACCAUCAUUUUAAAGAACGAAGUGGACAAUAAUAAUACAAUAGAAAUCACACAGAUCACACUCAAUAAGAUAAGCAUGCUGCUUAUCUGUUUCUACCAUAUUCAUGUGUGUGCGCUGAAUUGUGUUGCGAAUUUCUUGCAAGUAGCAGGUGACAAAAGCAUGCUGGCCUGUAGCACAAAGUAAACUAACCACAGCUAAUACGCUGCCUUCCACUGUUCCUUCUCAGAGACUCAGAAGAUCUGAUAUGAACAGCCAGCAGUGUGUGAGAUGCUGCUCUGAGUCCUAUGACCCCCCCCACACACACACACACACAACACUAGGAAGGAGGUUGUUAUGUUAAAAUCUGCAUUUUUGCACAGAGAGUCAGAAACUUGUGAGAUUGCAUAGCUGUUGAAUGGCAGAGUCAGAAUUGGAUCAUAGGUCAUCUCGCCAUAGAUAAUUGGCUCAACCUUUAGAAAGGCGGCCAUGUCCAUAGGCCAGGCGAGCCCCUCCCCUCUUCCUCACUCUUGCUGCCUCCUCUAAAUAUGGAAUGUGAAACAAAAACAUUUCAAUGAGCAUGGAAAUGUUUUCCCUUAA